rnacentral:rRNA from 1 species
AAUCUUUUCACGGAGAGUUUGAUCCUGGCUCAGGACGAACGCUGGCGGCGUGCCUAAUACAUGCAAGUCGAGCGGGUCGCCUCGGGGCUUGCCCCGGGGAGGCCAGCGGCGGACGGGUGAGUAACGCGUGGGCAACCUGUCCGGCAGACCGGGACAACGCCUGGAAACGGGCGCUAAUUCCGGAUAGGCGCAAAGGGCGCAUGCUUUUUGCGGGAAAGGGGAAACCCGCUGUCGGGUGGGCCCGCGUCGCAUUAGCUGGUUGGUGGGGUAACGGCUCACCAAGGCGACGAUGCGUAGCCGGCCUGAGAGGGUGGGCGGCCACACUGGGACUGAGACACGGCCCAGACUCCUACGGGAGGCAGCAGUAGGGAAUCUUCCGCAAUGGGCGAAAGCCUGACGGAGCGACGCCGCGUGAGGGAAGAAGGCCUUCGGGUUGUAAACCUCUGGCUUUGGGGACGAGGGCACCGAGGGGACUCGGUGAGGGACGGUACCCAAGGAGGAAGCCCCGGCAAACUACGUGCCAGCAGCCGCGGUAAGACGUAGGGGGCGAGCGUUGUCCGGAAUCACUGGGCGUAAAGGGCGCGCAGGCGGCGAUGCACGUCCGAGGUGAAAGGCAGCGGCUCAACCGCUGAGGGGCCUCGGAUACGGCAUGGCUUGAGGGUCGGAGAGGCAAGGGGAAUUCCUGGUGUAGCGGUGAAAUGCGUAGAGAUCAGGAGGAAUACCGGUGGCGAAGGCGCCUUGCUGGACGACACCUGACGCUGAGGCGCGAAAGCGUGGGGAGCGAACAGGAUUAGAUACCCUGGUAGUCCACGCCGUAAACGAUGAGUGCUAGGUGUGGGUGGGGAUGCCCAUCCGUGCCGAAGGAAACCCAAUAAGCACUCCGCCUGGGGAGUACGGCCGCAAGGCUGAAACUCAAAGGAAUUGACGGGGGCCCGCACAAGCGGUGGAGCAUGUGGUUUAAUUCGAAGCAACGCGAAGAACCUUACCAGGGCUUGACAUCCCUCUGACACCUUCAGAGAUGAGGGGUUUCCUUCGGGGACAGAGGAGACAGGUGGUGCAUGGUUGUCGUCAGCUCGUGUCGUGAGAUGUUGGGUUAAGUCCCGCAACGAGCGCAACCCUUGCUCUGUGUUGCCAGCACGAGAGGUGGGCACUCACAGGGGACUGCCGGCGAGGAGCCGGAGGAAGGCGGGGAUGACGUCAAAUCAUCAUGCCCCAUAUGUCCUGGGCUACACACGUGCUACAAUGGGCGGUACAACGGGGAGCGAAGGGGCGACCUGGAGCGAAUCCCUGAAAGCCGUUCGUAGUUCGGAUUGCAGGCUGCAACUCGCCUGCAUGAAGGCGGAAUCGCUAGUAAUCGCGGAUCAGCAUGCCGCGGUGAAUCCGUUCCCGGGCCUUGUACACACCGCCCGUCACACCACGAGAGUCGGCAACACCCGAAGUCGGUGGGGCAACCGUCCGAGAGGGCGGAGCCAGCCGCCGAAGGUGGGGUCGAUGAUUGGGGUGAAGUCGUAACAAGGUAGCCGUAUCGGAAGGUGCGGCUGGAUCACCUCCUUUCUA